rnacentral:rRNA from 1 species
UACGUAGGGGGCGAGCGUUAUCCGGAUUCAUUGGGCGUAAAGCGCGCGUAGGCGGCCGCCUAAGCGGAACCUCUAACCCCGGGGCUCAACCUCGGGCCGGGUUCCGGACUGGGCGGCUCGAGUGCGGUAGAGGAGAGCGGAAUUCCCGGUGUAGCGGUGGAAUGCGCAGAUAUCGGGAAGAACACCGAUGGCGAAGGCAGCUCUCUGGGCCGUCGCUGACGCUGAGGCGCGAAAGCUGGGGGAGCGAACAGG